UAUCGAAGCCUCGAUCGCGGAUCGAUUAAUUAUAUCGUAUAUAAUUAUAUUUUCAUUCGUUCUCGAAAUUUCGUACGAGUUGAUCGCGUGAAAUACAUUCAAAAAAAAAAAAAAGAAUUGUGCUCAUUCUCGCUCACUCACUGCAACGAAUUUUCAUAGGCAAAUAUAGAAUUUGAACAGGGGGGAGGGCCAAAUAAAUGGCCCACUCAAAUUGAAAUUCAGAGGAACGUUCUUUCCGCCCGUGAACGCGGAGUGCAGCCGCAUCACCGAGUUAUCGGUGGCCGCUCGGAAACCAGGGAUGGACAAUCUGGCCGCCAUUAAAUCCGUCACGGGUCUACCUUCAAUUUUGUCGCGCCUCUGUGCACCGCUCGAUUCUUUCAUUCCCCUCCCUCCCCUCCCCGCGGUUCGAAUAAUUUUGUGGACGCGCGCGAUGACAAAUGUGAAGGGGGUUGAAACCGACGCGGAGCAAAGUAGAAUUGGCAUGACAAAAUUAAUCACUUUCCCUCUCUCUUCUCUUCCUUUCGUUUCAUCUUCAUCCCACGUUUUCUCUUUCUUUUUGAACUUUCCCUCUCUUUCUCUUUCUGUUGGUACCAGUUGCAGAUCCAUUGGUAAUUUUCCUUAUUUAAUCUCUUUCUAAUUUCUUUUUUUUUUUUUUUUUUUUUUUUUUUUUUAGUAGUAGAAUUGGGAUAGUUCUUGAUUGACCGAUUGUUGCACGUCGCGUCAUACGAGUCCAGUCAACACAUCCGCACACUUUGUCGUACACAAAACUUUUGUACUUCGAAUCAGUUUGAAUUGUUAAUUCAUGAUAUAUUUUUUUUUGACAAACGAAAUUUUUCUCGAAAAAAUCUUUUUAAUGUAAUAAUGUAAUUUCAACGGGAUAAUUUCGGGAAGAAUUCGACAAAAUUUUGCUAAUUUUUCGCAUUUUGAGAAUCGAUCGAAAAUUGAAGAGAUUCUUUUUUUUUCUUUUUUUUCUUUUUCUUCCAUCCCACGGAGGGUCGAGGGUUAAUAAUAUUCUCGAUGGCACGAAAGGAAUAUUUCUCUCUUUCAAAAAACGAUCGUAAAAGGAGGGGGCAAGGAGAAAAAGAAAAAGGAGAAGAGGGAAAAAAAAAAGAAAAGAAAAAAGUCCCCCCCGAGCAGAAAGCAAACGUAAUCUACCGAUGUCUGUCGAAUACAAAGUAGCGUUGAACAUAAUACUUAGAAUGCAAUCUAUCGUGCUACAUACAUAUAAAUCGCUGUGAUCACUGAGUCGUUGAAAUUCGUAACGAUCCUCCUUCUUUCCUCUCUUUUCCUCCUCCUCCUCCUCCAUUUUCCGCCGCUUCGUCCUCGUUUCCCCGUCCAUUCCACUUUUUGCCCCCUCCUCCUUCCCUCCCCCCGAAACUGUAUUCCUGUCACGAAUGUGGAACGAAAUAGAAUUGUUGAAGCAACGAUAAGAUGAAUGGAAAGGGGGGGAGAGAGAGAGAGAGGGAGAAAAAGAAGGGAUGAAAACGAGGACAGGAAAUUUUGCCGAGAAAAAUUUCUUUAAAAAUAAAAUCUCUCCUCUUUAUGAACGAUAAUGGAACGCCAUGAGGGGGAUUAUCGGCUUCGAGGAGAAAUAUAUUUUUAAUUUCGUUGGAUCGAAUGGGAGAAAAAAAAAAAA
rnacentral:lncRNA from 1 species